rnacentral:rRNA from 1 species
UACGUAGGGUGCGAGCGUGUCCGGAAUUAUUGGGCGUAAAGAGCUCGUAGGCGGCUUGUCGCGUCGACCGUGAAAACUUGGGGCUCAACCCCAAGCCUGCGGUCGAUACGGGCAGGCUCGAGUUCGGUAGGGGAGACUGGAAUUCCUGGGUGUAGCGGUGAAAUGCGCAGAUAUCAGGAGGAACACCGAUGGCGAAGGCAGGUCUCUGGGCCGAUACUGACGCUGAGGAGCGAAAGCGUGGGGAGCGAACAGG